rnacentral:lncRNA from 1 species
GAUGAUGAAGUCGUGGCUGCAAAGUCACGGCGGCAAGCUGCUGAAGUGCUUCUGGACUUGGACAUGGCAUCGUGAUGCGCCGACAACUUAAACAAGGGGGCGGGGCAGCAGCUGCUAAGGCAGACUUCUGAGACCUCUUUCAAACAAGGUGACUGCAUCUCUCUGUUUUCUGUGGUAUUUUUGUGGUUUUGGUUCAAUCAUGAAGCAAUGGUUUAUAUUUAUAAUGACUCUUCUUCUUGUUAGAAACAAAGAAACUGCAGAAGUUUUACUUUGUCUUACAUGUAUGUUUUGGGCCUGGUUGGUUUAUAGACAUGGUAUGAUUAGUUUGAACUGGUCAGAUCAGUCUAAAAUACGAUGCUUAACAAGGUGGCUUAGUUGACAUUUUCUAUCAUUAAUUGCAUGCUUAACCACGCAUUAAGCAGCAGCAUGGUUUACUUUGCAAACUUGUCAUGGGGGGGUCAAUUGUUUUGGACCAGUCACUCAGUCAACAAGGUGUGAAUUGAAGCACUAAUUGCAGAGACUCUGAGAGGGAAAGUUCAUGAUGAACAUGUGCAUGCGGAGCAAGGACACUGGUAAGUAAUUAUGUAAAAUGGAUUGAUUAUAAGGAGCUCUCCAAUUAAAAUUAGAAUUAUGCAGUGUUUGUUUAACUUUAAUGUAAAAACUAGAAGCACUAAAAUUCUAAUUGGUGUAUGUCUUUUGUGAAAAGGAGAGGGUGGAAGAGAAAGCAACAGGCAAAAGUGGACGACAAAAAGCGCUUUUUGCAUUGUGGCCGGCAUUAUUGGUGCUGGCCAACUUGCUUCAGGCUUAAGUUUUGAAGUUUUCUUUAAAGCCCCAUUGAUUGUGCCGCUAUCGAAAUUAUGCAUGCCAAUUGUAAUUGCCAAUUUUAUCUUUUUUUAUUUUAUUAAAUGUACCAACUGUCUUUGCCUUCUUAUUAUUGUGUAAAUCUGAGGCCAGAAAUACAUUAGCUCUCCAUUAUAAUUUAGGCUAAAUUUUGAAUAUAACAGUUUAUUAUGUGUAGGGUUUUAUUUUUUUAAGGACUUUUUUUAUGGAGAGAGACAAUAAUACCGAAACUUACACAUACAACACACGAAUGUUAAGACUCAAAUCCAUAACCUUGUCUGAAUGAGAAAUUAUUUCAAAUCAUUACAUUAAUGAGUCUUUUGCAUAUGUCUUGGCAUGGACUAUGCUUAGGGACUGGUUUAGCUUGGCUUGGCUUGGUCUAAGUUGAAUAACACUUAUUCUGCGUUUGGUGUAUGCUUG